rnacentral:rRNA from 1 species
ACGAACGCUGGCGGCGCGCCUAACACAUGCAAGUCGAACGGGAAAAGUUUUUACUCUGAGUUUUUGCUCAGGGUGCUGGGAGAGAAAAGCGUCAUUCGAUGCGAAGCAUCGGAUUACGCGUUUCAAGUAAGACUAACACCAAAGUGGAGCGAAAACCGAGAGUAAAAACUUUUCUAGUGGCGGACGGGUGAGUAACACGUGAAGAACCUGCCUUACAGAGGGGGACAACAGCUGGAAACGGCUGCUAAUACCGCAUAACGUUUAGUUGGGGCAUCCCGAUUAAACCAAAGGAGUAAUCCGCUGUAAGAUGGCUUCGCGUCCGAUUAGACAGUUGGCGGGGUAACGGCCCACCAAAUCUACGAUCGGUAGCCGGACUGAGAGGUUGAACGGCCACAUUGGGACUGAGACACGGCCCAGACUCCUACGGGAGGCAGCAGUGGGGGAUAUUGCACAAUGGAGGGAACUCUGAUGCAGCGACGCCGCGUGAGGGAAGAAGGUUUUCGGAUUGUAAACCUCUGUCUUCGGUGACGAAAAUGACGGUAGCCGAGGAGGAAGCCACGGCUAACUACGUGCCAGCAGCCGCGGUAAUACGUAGGUGGCAAGCGUUGUCCGGAAUUACUGGGUGUAAAGGGAGCGUAGGCGGGAGUGCAAGUCGGCUGUCUAAACUAUGGGCUCAACCCAUAAUCGCGGCCGAAACUGUACUUCUUGAGUGAAGUAGAGGUAAGCGGAAUUCCUAGUGUAGCGGUGAAAUGCGUAAAUAUUAGGAGGAACACCAGUGGCGAAGGCGGCUUACUGGGCUUUAACUGACGCUGAGGCUCGAAAGCGUGGGUAGCAAACAGGAUUAGAUACCCUGGUAGUCCACGCCGUAAACGAUGAUUACUAGGUGUGGGGGGACUGACCCCUUCCGUGCCGGAGUUAACACAAUAAGUAAUCCACCUGGGGAGUACGACCGCAAGGUUGAAACUCAAAGGAAUUGACGGGGGCCCGCACAAGCAGUGGAGUAUGUGGUUUAAUUCGAAGCAACGCGAAGAACCUUACCAGGUCUUGACAUCGCAUGCCAUCUGUAGAAGUACAGAGUUCCCUUCGGGGACAUGCAGACAGGUGGUGCAUGGUUGUCGUCAGCUCGUGUCGUGAGAUGUUGGGUUAAGUCCCGCAACGAGCGCAACCCUUAUGUUUAGUUGCUACGCAAGAGCACUCUAGACAGACUGCCGUUGACAAAACGGAGGAAGGCGGGGAUGACGUCAAAUCAUCAUGCCCCUUAUGACCUGGGCUACACACGUACUACAAUGGCCGUUAACAAAGGGCAGCGACACCGCGAGGUGAAGCGAAUCUCAAAAAACGGUCCCAGUUCAGAUUGCAGGCUGCAACCCGCCUGCAUGAAGAUGGAAUUGCUAGUAAUCGCGGAUCAGAAUGCCGCGGUGAAUACGUUCCCGGGCCUUGUACACACCGCCCGUCACACCAUGAGAGUUGGCAACACCCGAAGUCGGUAGGCUAACGCAAGGAGCCGCCGCCGAAGGUGGGGUCGAUGAUUGGGGUG